GACGAACGCUGGCGGCGUGCUUAACACAUGCAAGUCGAACGAUGAAGCCGGAGCUUGCUCUGGUGAAUUAGUGGCGAACGGGUGAGUAACACGUGAGUAACCUGCCCUUGACUCUGGGAUAACUGCGGGAAACUGUAGCUAAUACCGGAUACGACCCUCGGAGGCAUCUCCUGGGGGUGGAAAGAAUUUCGGUCAAGGAUGGACUCGCGGCCUAUCAGCUAGUUGGUGAGGUAAAGGCUCACCAAGGCGACGACGGGUAGCCGGCCUGAGAGGGUGACCGGGCACCCUGGGACUGAGACACGGCCCAGACUCCUACGGGAGGCAGCAGUGGGGAAUAUUGCACAAUGGGCGCAAGCCUGAUGCAGCAACGCCGCGUGAGGGAUGACGGCCUUCGGGUUGUAAACCUCUUUUAGCAGGGAAGAAGCGAAAGUGACGGUACCUGCAGAAAAAGCACCGGCUAACUACGUGCCAGCCGCCGCAGUAA
rnacentral:rRNA from 1 species